rnacentral:rRNA from 1 species
AGCGAACGCUGGCGGCAGGCCUAACACAUGCAAGUCGAGCGCCCAGCAAUGGGAGCGGCAGACGGGAUAGUAACACGUGGGAACGUACCUUUCAGUUCGGAACAACCCAGGGAAACUUGGGCUAAUACCGAAUACGUCCGUAAGGAGAAAGAUUUAUCGCUGAAAGAUCGGCCCGCGUCUGAUUAGCUAGUUGGUGAGGUAAUGGCUCACCAAGGCGACGAUCAGUAGCNGGUCUGAGAGGAUGAUCAGCAUCACUGGGACUGAGACACGGCCCAGACUCCUACGGGAGGCAGCAGUGGGGAAGUAUUGGACAAUGGGCGCAAGCCUGAUCCAGCCAUGCCGCGUGGAUGAUGAAGGCC